GACGAACGCUGGCGGCGUGCCUAAUACAUGCAAGUAGAACGCUGAAGAGAGGAGCUUGCUCUUCUUGGAUGAGUUGCGAACGGGUGAGUAACGCGUAGGUAACCUGCCUUGUAGCGGGGGAUAACUAUUGGAAACGAUAGCUAAUACCGCAUAACAAUGGAUGACACAUGUCAUUUAUUUGAAAGGGGCAAUUGCUCCACUACAAGAUGGACCUGCGUUGUAUUAGCUAGUAGGUGAGGUAAUGGCUCACCUAGGCGACGAUACAUAGCCGACCUGAGAGGGUGAUCGGCCACACUGGGACUGAGACACGGCCCAGACUCCUAAGGGAGGCAGCAGUAGGGAAUCUUCGGCAAUGGGGGCAACCCUGACCGAGCAACGCCGCGUGAGUGAAGAAGGGUUUCGGAUCGUAAAGCUCCGUUGUAAGUCAAGAACGGGUGUGAGAGUGGAAAGUUCACACUGUGACGGUAGCUUACCAGAAAGGGACGGCUAACUACGUG
rnacentral:rRNA from 1 species